UGCUAUCACUUAUAGAUGGACCUGCGCCGUAUUAGCUAGUUGGUAAGGUAACGGCUUACCAAGGCAACGAUACGUAGCCGACCUGAGAGGGUGAUCGGCCACACUGGAACUGAGACACGGUCCAGACUCCUACGGGAGGCAGCAGUAGGGAAUCUUCCGCAAUGGGCGAAAGCCUGACGGAGCAACGCCGCGUGAGUGAUGAAGGUCUUCGGAUCGUAAAACUCUGUUAUUAGGGAAGAACAAACGUGUAAGUAACUGUGCACGUCUUGACGGUACCUAAUCAGAAAGCCACGGCUAACUACGUGCCAGCAGCCGCGGUAAUACGUAGGUGGCAAGCGUUAUCCG
rnacentral:rRNA from 1 species